UGGACCAGGUAUAUGGAUGUGUAAUCAACCAAGGAUUAUGAUUAAUCCAGUUGUGUGCACCUGUGGUCUAAU
ensembl:snoRNA